AAUUAAUAAGGGUGUCAAGAAGCCACAUCUAGCGAUCUACUACUAAAGUAAGUGCAGAAAAGAAAAUUCACAUGAAUGGAUUAAAGAUAGGGUUGAUUGGUCGAAUCAACUGAAGAGGAUGACAUAAAUCCCUUCCCUGUCAAGGUCACUGCAGUAUCCAUGCAACAUCUAAAUCCUUUUGCUGCUAUUUUCCCUGUCACUUGUAGCCUAUAAAUAUGCCUCUCCUUUAUGAAUGUAAAUCACGGAAAAAUAA
rnacentral:lncRNA from 1 species